rnacentral:rRNA from 1 species
ACGCUGGCGGCAGGCCUAACACAUGCAAGUCGAGCGGUAGCACAGGAGAGCUUGCUCUCUGGGUGACGAGCGGCGGACGGGUGAGUAAUGUCUGGGAAACUGCCUGAUGGAGGGGGAUAACUACUGGAAACGGUAGCUAAUACCGCAUGACCUCGCAAGAGCAAAGUGGGGGACCUUCGGGCCUCACGCCAUCGGAUGUGCCCAGAUGGGAUUAGCUAGUAGGUGGGGUAAUGGCUCACCUAGGCGACGAUCCCUAGCUGGUCUGAGAGGAUGACCAGCCACACUGGAACUGAGACACGGUCCAGACUCCUACGGGAGGCAGCAGUGGGGAAUAUUGCACAAUGGGCGCAAGCCUGAUGCAGCCAUGCCGCGUGUGUGAAGAAGGCCUUAGGGUUGUAAAGCACUUUCAGCGAGGAGGAAGGCGCCAUACUUAAUACGUGCAGUGAUUGACGUUACUCGCAGAAGAAGCACCGGCUAACUCCGUGCCAGCAGCCGCGGUAAUACGGAGGGUGCAAGCGUUAAUCGGAAUUACUGGGCGUAAAGCGCACGCAGGCGGUUUGUUAAGUCAGAUGUGAAAUCCCCGAGCUUAACUUGGGAACUGCAUUUGAAACUGGCAAGCUAGAGUCUUGUAGAGGGGGGUAGAAUUCCAGGUGUAGCGGUGAAAUGCGUAGAGAUCUGGAGGAAUACCGGUGGCGAAGGCGGCCCCCUGGACAAAGACUGACGCUCAGGUGCGAAAGCGUGGGGAGCAAAC